AGGAGGAACAACCGCAGUGGCAGGGCCAGCUCUGGAGCCCUGGAGUCAGCCCCCGCAGGAACUCCGGAGCUCUCCGUCUGCAGGGCCUGGAGGCUCCGGGGCGGG
rnacentral:pre_miRNA from 1 species